AAAAGUCUUCCUGUCAAUUUGUUUUGCGGUACAGCCCCACGCGCUGUUGGAAAGACUCAUUUGAAACCGUUUUGGCGUUGUGACAGGGUUGUGUGGAUUUCCCGAGGAGUCGAGUCAGUCUCCGCCUCAUGUUCAGUUAGGCAAAUAUCCAGUUGUCUCUUGAAUAAGCUGUGUGCUCUUUCACCUAACCAUCCGCCGUCACACACAGGAACACUGUCGUUGUGUUAAACCUUUUACGCUUCAGCUAUUCUCGGUUGGAGCAAAACAUCACCUGUUAGUUGUCUAAAUCGUAGGUAUGUUAACACGGUUGGGUUUGAAAUCGAAUUAAAGGUACGUUGUUGAAUUGGGCCUAGGCUAGCCAUAACAGGUGGCUCGCUAAUAGAUGGCCUCAACCACCAGACACCAUUUAAUCCAUGUUGUCAGACAAAGUCAAUACUUUAGUUUGGCACCUGGUGACCAGAGCAUUUGAAGGUGCUGACUGUUGGCUGUGUGUGAGGUAGUCUGGCCUGUGAUUGGGACAUGAAGCUGCUAUCAGCACAUUGUACUAAUUUCUGCACAUAUAUGGCUCCUUUAAGUGCUUCCCCUGGUUGAAUCUGCUGAUCACGCUCCUGUAAGCACUCACGCUCAUCUGACCAAGAGCGGAAGUCUCGUCGCAACAGCCUAGGUCAGAAAUGGGAAGUGUAUUUAGUCAACUCACAUGAUUAGUUUCCUGAUUGUUUUUGGAAAGGUCAAUUAAUGUCCUGCUAUCUCUGACAAUGAACUGGCAUUGACUAAUAUUACUGGACUUCAUAUUCACUUGCAUGAAUGUUUACCUGGCAUUUAGUUACGGCCAUGUGGUUUUGAGUCAACGGG
ensembl:lncRNA